rnacentral:rRNA from 1 species
UACGUAGGGUGCGAGCGUUAAUCGGAAUUACUGGGCGUAAAGCGUGCGCAGGCGGCGCGUUAAGACAGGUGUGAAAGCCCCGAGCUUAACUUGGGAAUUGCGCUUGUGACUGGCGUGCUGGAGUGUGGCAGAGGGAGGUGGAAUUCCACGUGUAGCAGUGAAAUGCGUAGAGACGUGGAGGAACACCGAUGGCGAAGGCAGCCUCCUGGGCCAGCACUGACGCUCAUGCACGAAAGCGUGGGGAGCAAACAGG